UACAGAGGGGGCAAGCGUUGUUCGGAAUUACUGGGCGUAAAGGGUGCGUAGGCGGCGCGGUAAGUCGGGUGUGAAAUCUCGGAGCUUAACUCCGAAACUGCAUUCGAUACUGCCGUGCUUGAGGACUGGAGAGGAGACUGGAAUUUACGGUGUAGCGGUGAAAUGCGUAGAUAUCGUAAGGAAGACCAGUGGCGAAGGCGGGUCUCUGGACAGUUCCUGACGCUGAGGCACGAAGGCCAGGGGAGCAAACGGG
rnacentral:rRNA from 1 species